ACGGGCGCUACCAUGGCGCGGUGAGGGAGCGGGGGUGGGGAUCGGUCCCGGGGAGGCCUGGGGCCGCUGGCUUGUGCGCCGUCUCGGCCGCCCCCCCUUUUGCCGCCGCCGCCGCCGCCGCCCCGGGCAUGUCGUCCAACUGCACCAGCACCACGGCGGUGGCGGUGGCGCCGCUCAGCGCCAGCAAGACCAAGACCAAAAAGAAGCAUUUCGUGUGCCAGAAAGUGAAGCUAUUCCGGGCCAGCGAGCCGAUCCUCAGCGUCCUGAUGUGGGGGGUGAACCACACGAUCAAUGAGCUGAGCAAUGUCCCCGUCCCUGUCAUGCUAAUGCCAGAUGACUUCAAAGCAUACAGCAAGAUCAAGGUGGACAAUCAUCUCUUCAAUAAGGAGAACCUUCCCAGCCGUUUUAAGUUUAAGGAGUACUGCCCCAUGGUGUUCCGGAAUCUCCGGGAGAGGUUUGGGAUUGAUGAUCAGGAUUACCAGAAUUCGGUGACGCGCAGCGCCCCUAUCAACAGUGACAGCCAGGGCCGAUGUGGCACACGUUUCCUCACCACCUACGACCGGCGCUUUGUCAUCAAGACCGUGUCAAGUGAGGAUGUGGCCGAGAUGCACAACAUCUUAAAGAAAUACCACCAGUUCAUCGUGGAGUGUCACGGCAACACCCUUUUGCCGCAGUUCCUGGGCAUGUACCGCUUGACCGUGGAUGGCGUGGAGACCUACAUGGUGGUCACCAGGAACGUGUUCAGCCAUCGGCUCACUGUGCACCGCAAGUAUGACCUCAAGGGCUCCACUGUUGCCAGAGAAGCGAGCGACAAGGAGAAGGCCAAGGACUUGCCGACAUUCAAAGACAAUGACUUCCUCAAUGAGGGGCAGAAGCUGCAUGUGGGAGAGGAGAGUAAAAAGAACUUCCUGGAAAAACUGAAACGGGACGUGGAGUUCCUGGCCCAGCUGAAGAUCAUGGACUACAGCCUGCUGGUGGGCAUCCACGACGUGGACCGGGCGGAGCAGGAGGAGAUGGAGGUGGAGGAGCGGGCAGAGGACGAGGAGUGCGAGAAUGACGGGCCGGGCGGCAACCUGCUGUGCUCCUACGGCACGCCUCCGGACAGCCCCGGCAACCUCCUCAGCUUCCCCCGCUUCUUUGGUCCUGGGGAGUUCGACCCCUCUGUCGACGUCUAUGCCAUGAAAAGCCAUGAAAGUGCCCCCAAGAAAGAGGUCUAUUUCAUGGCCAUCAUCGACAUCCUCACGCCGUAUGAUGCUAAGAAGAAAGCCGCGCACGCUGCCAAAACAGUGAAGCACGGGGCGGGGGCCGAGAUCUCGACUGUGAACCCUGAGCAGUACUCCAAACGCUUCAACGAGUUCAUGUCCAACAUCCUGACGUAGUUACCUUCUACCUUCAGCCAGAGCCGGAGAGCCGGAUGUGGGGUCGGGCCAGAAAAGGGAGAGGGUGUAUUUGGGCUAGAUGGGAGGGUGGGGAGCGUGGGGAGCAGUGUAGGGGGAGGGGAGGGCUUCAGUGAUGAGACUGCAGCCUGUGACAUUGAAAGACUCUAGCUGGGGAGGAGGGGAUGUGCUGUGUGAGCACGUACCCACAGGGUGUAGCCUUGAUCUUUCCCCCAUUUGACCCAGGUUGAAAAGGGGUUUCCUUUUUGUUCCCUUGUAACCUUUUUAACAAUACGUUGGGGCUAGAGAUGACUUUGUGGGUUUAUGUGGGUUUUGUUUCUGAAAUCUCAUUGCUCCAGGUUUGCUAUUUAUAAUGAUGUGUGUCAUCACCCCAUCACCCUCCCCAUCCCUGCCCUGCUCUCGGUUCCCUUCAGUGAAAGAGGCACCCCCAUGGACCCGGCCAAGGGGCCUCUCAGGGCCAAGUGCUCUGAUGGCAGAGGAGAGGUCAGACACUUCAGUCCUGCUGCAUUUGAUCUUGUCUGGAUUAACUUUUUCAUUUUAUGGAGUAUUGUGCACAAACUUCCUCCACCUUUUCACCUUGGAUCCAAGUGAAAUGGUACCUGAUUCCUCCAUCUAAAUGCUGUCCUCCAAAUCAACAGCAGGCAUCUUGGAUCAGAAUCAGAGAUCUCACAGGGGCGUGAGUUCAUCCUCAUGGGAUGGUGAGGGGUGGGGGUAGCGGCUGGGCUCUUGGACAGCUGGUUCUCACAGAACCCUGCGAUCAUCACCCACGCCUCUGAGCUCCUUUGGCUGCUGGAGUUCAGAUGUCCUCUGUCUAAAGCCUGCCUCCCGUUGGUCAAGAGGAACUAGAAAGCAUCUUUAGGUACAGCAGGAGCCUUCAUGCUUCGAUGGUUAUUUCCCCUUGGGAAACCCCCAGAACCUGAUGAGUAUCCAGUGAGGCCUUGUGCCCUCCAUCCAUUGACUUCCUCCUGACCUUCUCCCACGCACCCUCCCUUGUAGUUGAGCUUUUAGCUGGGGGAGACCUCCACGUGCCUGGGAUGCUCCUUGCAGAGAGGCCUCCUCAAGCCCCAGGGCCACCAUGUAGAUAAUCUGAUGCCCUGUGCCUGUGGUCUGUCCCCCUGGACAGUUCUGGCCAUCAGGGAGUGCUGCCCCCCACCGUGGAGUGUGGCACCCAAGCCUGAGCUUGCCGCGGAGUCACUUGAAGAUGUGACCCAGGAAAUCCAAUGUGGAGGCCUGAAACGAGAUUCGACCUGGCCCAGCUUUGGGGCUGUUUUCCUUGAUGCCCCCGUCUUAACUUUGAGCAGAUCUGCCACCCCAGGGGUGCUUCGGGAGUGGCUUCCUGCAGCUUCGUGCAGGGUCCCCACCCACCUGCUGAGCUACCCAGGCCUCAGAACUGAGCCGGGUGUCAUUCUGUGAUGCCAUCAGAGCAGUCUGGUCUGGCUCAGAGAGAACAGCCCCGUGUUGGGGGAGGUACAUUCCUGCCCCUUCGCACCCCCUCACCCGGAACUGGGGAUUUGGGAUGAUCUAUGGCAAAACUUUUGUAGAUAACCCCACAGGUGCGAUGAAAGUUUAUGGAAACAUUUCAAAUGGAUGGAUUGGUUUCCUGCGGCUCCCUCCAAACCUGGCCAAGUUCAGCUUCUGGAGCAGGAACCACCGCCUCCGUGCCCUACCUGCAGCGUUUAGGUGAGGGGAGAAUGGAGGCAGCACUCUUGGACUCCAGUGAGGCUGCUGGAACUGUUCUGGAAGAGGCAAAUAGGUCAGACAACCGCCCCCCGGCCCAGGAAGGGGCCGUAGGCAGCUCUGAAUGAUCAGCAGCAGCAAGGCCAUGUAGUGACUUGGGGAAGAACUUGGAACCAAGUGGCUCACGGAGAAAACAGAUCUGACUUAGGACGGGAUUACGUAGGAACGAUGUUUGGACUUGAUUUCCCCACCUCCUAAUCAAGAAUGGAAAUUUGGAUCUGUCCCUCGGGAGGCCCGCAUCUUCCGAGCUUGGCGGGCUGUCCUCCAGCAGAGGCCACAGCCUUGGGCUCCCACCGGCUUCCUGCGUUUGGUCUGCUGAUUAUGUUGCCAUCAUGUGUGUGAAAAGUGUAACACAAUCCAUCGGUUAAAAAUGAGCUACCAGUAUUGUUGUUUGGAUCAAAACAUUUGAGCUGUGGUCGGGUGGACUUUAGAAUUUUUUAAAAGGUCAUUCUCUGUGCUAUCUUCAAAACCUUGGGUUUGGCCCUCUAAUUCCUUUGGCAUUCAAAUGUUUAAAAGCUAUUUAUCUUGGUUUAUGCCAGUUUUCUUUCUCUUCUUUCUGUAAUGAUGCCGAUGUGUUUGGUUUGUGGUCUGAAUGUGGAGAAAGUGAACUGAUGGCCAAGCCUUUGUCUGCCCCCACUCCUUUCUCAGAGCCCCACCUUCCCGCUCUCCCUGCAGAAGGCAUCCAAGAGCAAAGGACUACCCUCAGCCUUCCUCUCUGGAGCCCUGAAGAAAAGCUCAGCUGUCCCACGGCACCCUAGAAUAAUUGGGGGGUCUCCUAAGAACCAGGUGUAAGGAUAGGACGUGACGGACUGGGUGAAGCCCGGGAUGGGGGUCAGGGCAGGAUUCCUCUCCAUUCCCCCCACCUUGACCACCUAGCCAGUCGUAGCUUCACCCGUCCCGAGAGUCUGGGGCUGAGAAACCCAGGCUGGUCCUCUGAAGACUCCGCGUAGACCACUAGAUGAAGGCCUCUGGCCCUUGUUCCUAUUAGUGAACCACUGAGUCUUUGUCCCCCCCACCCCCCCACCCCAGUGCAAGCUCCUUCCCUGUGCCCUGCGGUUUGGGGGUACAGGGCGGGCUGGGAAGCCAGCAGUUCCGGUUCCGGGAGCAGACUGAAGCAGCGCUCCAUCUCUCCUUAUCUAGCUCAGGGGUUACUGGUCUGUGGCGGGUGCCACGAGUCGCCCCCGUGGCUGUUCUCAGUGGCACCUUCUAAGUUCCCACCACAGGCAGCUCUCCCUCCCCUCUCCCUACUCCUACUGUUUCUCUCGCCUGUGCUUUAGGCCUCAAACAGGUCCCCUGGUAGCGCUCAGGGCUUGGGACUAGACUCCUGCCCUAGUUGACUUUCCCUCUUCAGUCUGCCAGGGUCUGCCCUGGGGAGGUGGGCCAAAGACACAGGACUUCUCUCAGUAGCCAAUCCCCACCCCCCCAAUUGUCUUACCAAUUCAAGUUGGGAGGGAAAAAAAACUUCAGCACUCCCUAGCAUCUGAGCUACUCGAGUGUUAGGGGCCAGAAGGGACAGUGUGUUUAAAUGGCCCUUACAGCUCUGGCCUUAUAUGGCUCCCCCGAGUCUAGGGACCUCACUUCUUUCUGGCAGAAAUGGGGGGGCGGGGGUCCAGCCUGAGCACAGAAAUCAAAGGGAAAACACAUCCGAACAACUGCCCCCAGACCUACCAGCCACCUGCGGGGGCAGUGACUGCCUAGCUUUCCUCUGAGAUGCGCCGCGUACGAAGAGUGCCUCCAGAGGGAAGGGGAGACUCAGCUGUCCCCAGCGAGUUGUGCCGAGAUCCUUCAGAGGCUGGGGAGGAAACUUCCAGAGGAGUUCCUUCCCCCUCGCUCAGAGCUAUUUUGUGAGUUGUGAACCAACAAACAGCCUUUAGGGGGAGGCCGGUGCCGCUCAGCACACCUCAACAUCAGGUCAAAUCAUUGUAAUCAAAAAAUGUGAAUGAAGCUGAGAUUCAGCUUUUGGGGGAGCAGGAUAAAUACGACCCCUUCACGUGUGUGUCACUUCUCGGUUCUCACCGCACUCUCCAUUUUUUAAAUAGGAAUUUUCAACCCCUUGUGCUUGUCUAAUGUCUGCUCGGAACAGUUCGAGACACUGUUACUGUUUAAAAAUGCAUGCAUGUGAAGAUGAAUCUCCAACCCAAGGAACAAAUAAAACUCAAAAAACUUUGUGUA